rnacentral:sRNA from 1 species
CUGGACGGCGACCACGGCGCUUGCCCAUUGUGGUCCGAAGACCAAGGGAACGGCGACAGGCGCGAUUGCGGCAA